rnacentral:rRNA from 1 species
UGAAGGAGGAGCUUGCUCCUCUGGAUUAGUGGCGAACGGGUGAGUAACACGUGAGCAAUCUGCCCUUGACUCUGGGAUAAGCGCUGGAAACGGCGUCUAAUACCGGAUACGACCCUCGGAGGCAUCUCCUGUGGGUGGAAAGAACUUCGGUCAAGGAUGAGCUCGCGGCCUAUCAGCUUGUUGGUGAGGUAAUGGCUCACCAAGGCGACGACGGGUAGCCGGCCUGAGAGGGUGACCGGCCACACUGGGACUGAGACACGGCCCAGACUCCUACGGGAGGCAGCAGUGGGGAAUAUUGCACAAUGGGCGCAAGCCUGAUGCAGCAACGCCGCGUGAGGGACGACGGCCUUCGGGUUGUAAACCUCUUUUAGCAGGGAAGAAGCGAGAGUGACGGUACCUGCAGAAAAAGCACCGGCUAACUACGUGCCAGCAGCCGCGGUAAUACGUAGGGUGCAAGCGUUGUCCGGAAUUAUUGGGCGUAAAGAGCUCGUAGGCGGUCUGUCGCGUCUGCUGUGAAAACCCGAGGCUCAACCUCGGGCUUGCAGUGGGUACGGGCAGACUAGAGUGCGGUAGGGGAGAUUGGAAUUCCUGGUGUAGCGGUGGAAUGCGCAGAUAUCAGGAGGAACACCGAUGGCGAAGGCAGAUCUCUGGGCCGUAACUGACGCUGAGGAGCGAAAGCGUGGGGAGCAAACAGGCUUAGAUACCCUGGUAGUCC